AUGUCGAGAGGAAGACAAAAUCAACGCUUUAAGAAACUGAUCAUCCUUCGAGGUUUGCCAGGAGUUGGAAAGACAAGCAAGGCAGAAAUGCUCUGUGAUGAAUAUGCAGGACUUGGACUGGAAGGAGAAAUUUUCUCCACUGACAGGUACCAUGAAAGAACCGACUACACCAAAGGAAACUUUCAACGCAACCAUCGGCGGAAUAGAGAGGAUGUUUUUAUAGCCUUGAACAGAGGAGUGGAUCCGAUCAUCGUUGACAACACAAACAUUUCUCUUUGGGAGAUGUGGCCCUAUAUCCACAUGGGGAUGCGACAGGGUGACUAUGACAUCACUAUGAUGGAGCUGCCUAAAGGCUAUCCUCAGAACAAAAUCUCCAUCAACAAGCUGUACAGGUCAGAAACAACCUCUUCAUUAACAGCCUACAUUCUCACAGUGUAUACACAGUACAUGUGCAUUGGGGUAGGAUUGUAUACUUGUUUACCAGUUUUACAGCCAUCAAUAGAUUGUUAUUAAUUAUCUAUAAAUGAUACAUUGGUUAUCAAUUCAAUGAUAAAAAAAGCUGUGUUAUCUCCCUAUAGAUGGUGUAAGCAUAAGAUCCCCAAGCGUAAGUUCAGGUACUUUGAGGCUCGCUGGGAAGAAGCUUACAACAUCUGGCAUGUAUUUAACGACAGCUACUCCAUAAACCACUGGGAGCAACGCGAAGAGAAAUGGAACGUCCAGUGAUGAAGACAUGCUGGCCUUCUCCCCCCCCCAAAGUCCCCAAAAUCCAGAACAAACUCAAGAAAGCGUACAGUAUUAUAUAGAGCCCUUAUUGCAUGGAACUUCCUUCCAUCUCAUAUUGCUCAAAUAAACAGUAAACCUGGUUUCAAAAAACAUAAAGCAACACCUCACGGCACAACGUCUCUCCCCUAUUUGACCUAGAUAGUUUGUGUGUGUGCAUUGAUAUGUAGGCUACGUGUGCCUUUUAAAAAUGUAUGCAGUUCUGUCCUUGAGCUGCUCUUGUCUAUGAAUGUUCUGUAUUAUGUAGUUCUGUAUUUCAUGUUUUGUGUUGACCCCAGGAAGAGUAGCUGCUGCUUUUGCAACAGAUAAUGGGAAUCCUAUUAAAAU
rnacentral:lncRNA from 1 species